UGACGACCCAUUCAUUUACUCUCCCUGCUUCCAACAGACCAAUGAAUGUCGCCUUUGUUCGGUGAAGUGACAUGACAUUCUCGAAGAGAAUCCAGAAAAUGAUAAGGUGGAAUGAUCUGCAAAGGAUUAUCAAUCAAAACUAAAGGCAAGACGACCACCUUGGAGUUCCAACUGCAUUUAGCAGGGUGAUCGUAGAAGGAAUAUAUACAGCUCCCCAUUUUGGUACCGAUACUUCAGGAACCAAGACUGUAGCUGGCAAAAUGACACAAUAAAAGACAAACGUGACGAUAUGGGCAACGAUCUUUCGAACGAAGAAGAAGCUGUAGAUCAGGUAAAGCUUCUUCCACAGGGAGACUUUCUGCAGGUACACAGAAAGCUAAUGGUGAGAUACAUAAAAGAAAAUGCAACAAAUGAAACCAACAUAUCCAAGGAAUACACGAAACAUGCCUUGUUCCUCAUGAUUUCAAUGACCAUCUUUUUCAAGAGGUUUGCUGGGCCACAAGACCACCGGUGUUGCUGAUACCGAUAAGCUUUGAAGGUACUAGGCAAUUCAUUCUUUACCUGAAACAACUCAUCUACAUUUAUCAUUGCUUAACAACUGAAAAAGCUAGCAAGAUUAAUCCCAUUCCCCAUUUUUACAAUCAUAUAGACUAGAAGUACCCAACCCACAAAAGGUGGUCCUCUUUAUAAGGUUAAGGUUCUUAGAUUCAAACUCCCUAGUGAAAAAAGGCUUAACCAUUUAGGUUUGAGCCCCAACUUGAUUCGAGUGGGUGGGCAUUAUAGCCCACUCAAUAUUUGGGUCUCAUUAUAAGAUUGAAAAUUCUCAAUUAUUAUAA